rnacentral:rRNA from 1 species
UACGUAGGGUGCAAGCGUUAAUCGGAAUUACUGGGCGUAAAGCGCGCGCAGGCGGCCGUUUAAGUCUGGUGUUUAAGCCCGGGGCUCAACCCCGGUUCGCACUGGAAACUGGGCGGCUUGAGUGCAGGAGAGGAAAGCGGAAUUCCACGUGUAGCGGUGAAAUGCGUAGAUAUGUGGAGGAACACCAGUGGCGAAGGCGGCUUUCUGGCCUGUAACUGACGCUGAGGCGCGAAAGCGUGGGGAGCAAACAGG